ensembl:misc_RNA
AGAGCGCGUGCAGCCGCCGAGCACAUGGACCCGCUGGCCGAGCGGGCCCCACCAGGCCGGGAUGAAGGGGAGCUGCGAACCAGGAUGCGAGCCAGCAAAACCCAAAGCCCACCCCUCCGGCCCCGAGUGGAUAUCCACGCGGAAAGGAUGUUGGCAGCCCGGGUGACCUGGGAGUCAUGGCUGAAUCUACCCUCCC